GUCUACAGCCUUGCCAUCCUGAACAAGCCCAAUCUUGUCUGAUCUUGGAAGCUAAGCACGGUCGGGCCUGGAUAGUACUUGGAUGGGAGACCACCUAGGAAGACCAAGUGCUAUAGGCG
rnacentral:rRNA from 1 species